UACGUAGGGGGCUAGCGUUGUCCGGAUUUAUUGGGCGUAAAGAGCGUGUAGGCGGCCAGGUAGGUCUGGUGUGAAAACUCGAGGCUUAACCUCGAGAUGUCAUCGGAAACCAUCUGGCUAGAGUCCGGAAGAGGAGAGUGGAAUUCCUGGUGUAGCGGUGAAAUGCGCAGAUAUCAGGAAGAACACCAAUGGCGAAAGCAGCUCUCUGGGACGGUACUGACGCUGAGACGCGGAAGCGUGGGGAGCGAACAGG
rnacentral:rRNA from 1 species